rnacentral:rRNA from 1 species
AUCGAACGCUGGCGGCGGGCCUAACACAUGCAAGUCGAACGAGUGGCGGACGGGUGAGUAAUGUAUGGGAAACUGCCUGAUGGAGGGGGCUAACUACUGGAACCGGUAGCUACUACUGCUUACCAUCAUAUCUGCUGUGAGGGGAUUAGCUAGUUGGUGGGGUAACGGCUCACCAAGGCGACGAUCCCUAGCUGGUCUGAGAGGAAGAACGGCCACACUGGGACUGAGACACGGUCCAGACUCCUACGGGAGGCAGCAGUGGGGAAUAUUGCACAAUGGGCGAAAGCCUGAUGCAGCCAUGCCGCGUGUGUGAAGAAGGCUUUCGGGUUGUAAAGCACUUUCAGCGGAGAGGCGGUACCCGAAGAAGAAGCCCCGGCUAACUCCGUGCCAGCAGCCGCGGUAAUAC